rnacentral:rRNA from 1 species
UACAGAGGUCUCGAGCGUUAGGCGGAAUCACUGGGCUUAAAGCGUGUGUAGGCGGAUCGGUAAGUACCUUGUGAAAUCUCACAGCUUAACUGUGGAACUGCUUGGUAUACUGCCAGUCUUGAGCCACUUAGGGGCUACCGGAACAAAUGGUGGAGCGGUGAAAUGCGUAGAUAUCAUUUGGAACGCCAAUGGUGAAAACAGGUAGCUGGGAGUGUGCUGACGCUGAGACACGAAAGCCAGGGGAGCAAACGGG